CCUCUCUCUUCGAGUGGAUGCUGGUUACUGUUUCGCCUUUAACGGAUUCUUCAUCGCUGGACCAUUGUUCCUACCUGGGAUACAUUGUGAUAAAUCGUAAUAGAGGUACAAGUUGAUGUCAAGAGGUGAACAUUCUUCAACAAUAAAGUACACUCAAUGUGUUUAUCACGAGGAAGUUGUUGGUACAGGAGUAACUACUCGAGAGUAACACGAUCUUGGAAAAAGGGGAGAGAAUAAUAUUGCAGUACUAGAGGUGAAGGUGGAGUUGAAGUUGGAGUUGGAAGACAGCCGGAGCUUCGACGACGCUCGUUACUUUUUCACAAGGACGUGACGGGUCAUUGGGGUUGUAAACUUGUGGUAGAUGAAAUACUAUUUUAAUAGCAACGUUUGUCGUUUUACAUGUCACAAAAGGGACAUAAUAAUGCCACAGAAAUAACGGAA